rnacentral:rRNA from 1 species
UGAGGGAAUAUUGGGUCAAUGGGCGAGAGCCUGAACCAGCCAAGUCGCGUGAGGGAUGAAGGCCCUACGGGUUGUAAACCUCUUUUAUAAGGGAAUAAAGGACAUCGCGCAUGGUGUUUUGCAUGUACCUUAUGAAUAAGCAUCGGCUAACUCCGUGCCAGCAGCCGCGGUAAUACGGAGGAUGCGAGCGUUAUCCGGAUUCAUUGGGUUUAAAGGGUGCGUAGGUGGCUUGUUAAGUCAGCGGUGAAAGUCAGUGGCUCAACCAUUGAAUUGCCGUUGAAACUGGCGAGCUUGAGUACGUACGGGGCAGGCGGAAUGCGUGGUGUAGCGGUGAAAUGCAUAGAUAUCACGCAGAACACCGAUUGCGAAGGCAUCUCACAAAUCCGCAAUUGACGCUGAGGCACGAAAGCGUGGGGAUCGAACAGGAUUAGAUACCCUGGUAGU